AUGGUUGAGGCAGUGGCGGAGGAGGAGCCGGUGGUGCGGGAGUACGACGACGUCCGCGACCGCGCCGGCGUGGAGGAGGUGGAGCGGGAGUGCGAGGUGGGGUCCAGCGGCGGCGGCGGCGAGAUGUGCCUCUUCACGGACCUCCUCGGCGACCCGCUCUGCCGCAUUCGCAACUCGCCGGACUUCCUCAUGCUGGUCGCGGAGACAGCAACCGGCAGCGCCGCCGGCGGCGGCGCGGAGAUAAUCGGCCUCGUCCGCGGCUGCGUGAAGUCCGUCGUCUCCGGCGGCUCCCACGCCAAGGACAAGGACCCCAUCUACACCAAGGUCGCCUACAUCCUCGGCCUCCGCGUCUCACCCAACCAUCGGAGGAAAGGGGUGGGGAGGAAGCUCGUGGAGAGGAUGGAGCAAUGGUUCCGGCAGAAGGGCGCGGAGUACUCGUACAUGGCGACGGAGCAGGACAACGAGGCGUCCGUGCGCCUCUUCACCUCCCGCUGCGGCUACUCCAAGUUCCGCACGCCGUCGUUGCUCGUCCACCCGGUGUUCCGCCACGCCCUCAAGCCCUCGCGCCGCGCCUCCAUCGUGCGCCUCGAGCCCCGCGACGCCGAGCGCCUCUACCGCUGGCACUUUGCCGCCGUCGAGUUCUUCCCCGCCGACAUCGACGCCGUGCUGUCCAACGCCCUGUCGCUCGGCACGUUCCUGGCGCUCCCGGCGGGCACAAGUUGGCACGGGGACGUUGAGGCAUUUCUCGCCGCGCCGCCGGCUUCGUGGGCGGUGCUGAGCGUGUGGAACUGCAUGGACGCCUUCCGUCUCGAGGUGCGCGGCGCACCCCGUCUGAUGCGCGCCGCGGCCGGCGCAACGCGGCUGGUGGACCGAGCGGCGCCGUGGCUCCGGAUACCCUCCAUCCCGAACCUCUUCGCGCCGUUCGGGCUCUACUUCCUCUACGGCCUGGGCGGCGCCGGGCCGGGAGCGCCGCGGCUGGUGCGCGCGCUGUGCCGGCACGCGCACAACAUGGCCCGACGCGGCGGAUGCGGCGUGGUGGCCACCGAGGUCGCCGCCCUCGAGCCCGUGCGCGCCGGGGUGCCGCACUGGGCGCGUCUCGGCGCCGAGGACCUCUGGUGCAUCAAGCGGCUCGCCGACGGCUACAACCACGGGCUGCUCGGCGACUGGACCAAGGCGGCGCCCGGGCGCUCCAUCUUCGUCGACCCCAGAGAGUUUUAG
rnacentral:rRNA from 1 species